rnacentral:misc_RNA from 1 species
GAAGUCGUUACUCCAACCCUUGUGGAGGAGGACGUCGAAGGUGGGGCUGAUGACUGGGGUGAAGUCGUAACAAGGUAUCCGUACCGGAAGGUGCGGCUGGAUCACCUCCUAACAGGGAGACAAACAACGAUUCUGAUGUCUGAGUUAUUUAUUCUUAGGCCGAAAUCCUGUCACCUUAGGUCGAUCGGUACCUCAGCGUUGAAGCAACAGAGUUAACAGAGAUGUUGAUGCGUGUUGUGGAGAUGAUCAGUUCCUAAACUUUGUCUAGGUCACACCCCACAAGGGUUGAGUUUUCCUGGGCCAUUAGCUCAGGUGGUUAGAGCGCACCCCUGAUAAGGGUGAGGUCCCUGGUUCAAGUCCAGGAUGGCCCAUUCGGUGUUGGGGGUUUAGCUCAGUUGGUAGAGCGCCUGCUUUGCAAGCAGGAUGUCAGGAGUUCGAGUCUCCUAACCUCCACUGACCGAACUCGAUCUCCGGUUUUGCAUUGAAAGAUGGAGAGCCACUCGAUUGUGAUGUGUGAUUUAGAUGUGUCCGCUGGAUGACCCCAGCUUCCUGUCAUUCCAAAUUGAAGUAAAGGAUUUUACUUGAACGAAUUUGGUUGAUAAGAUGCUGGGCUCGAGUUCAGUGAUCAAGCAAUUGGUCAUCGGAUUUGAAGUCUGGCAGAACCUUGACAACUGCAUAGGUAAGUCUGGAAAAACAAAGCAUCUUACAGAUGCAUUGUUUUGAAUCUGAUCUUCUGAAAAGGAGAUUAGAUCUAGAACAAUGAAAAUUCUUUUGAGCAAGAGCCGAGACUCUUGAGCGUUCUUUGAUUCGUGUCGAGCGAAUCAGAGUUUGAUCUUGUUUUAGGAAUCAGCGUAAGUUGAUGAUUAAAACUUGAGAAUCUGCUUUCAACGGCGGUAAGCGUUCAGGAGAUUAAUUGGUCAAGCUACAAAGGGCUCACGGCGGAUACCUUGGCACACAGAGGCGAUGAA